rnacentral:rRNA from 1 species
GACGAACGCUGGCGGCGUGCCUAAUACAUGCAAGUAGAACGCUGAAGAGAGGAGCUUCCUCUUCUUGGAUGAGUUGCGAACGGGUGAGUAACGCGUAGGUAACCUGCCUUGUAGCGGGGGAUAACUAUUGGAAACGAUAGCUAAUACCGCAUAACAAUGGAUGACACAUGUCAUUUAUUUGAAAGGGGCAAUUGCUCCACUACAAGAUGGACCCGCGUUGUAUUAGCUAGUAGGUGAGGUAAUGGCUCACCUAGGCGACGGUACAUAGCCGACCUGCGAGGGGGGACGGUCAACCUGGGAAUGGGAAACGGCCCAGACCCCAGCGGGAGGCAGCAGUAGGGAAUCUUCGGCAAUGGGGGAAACGCUGACCGAGCAACGCCGCGUGAGGGAAGAAGGUUGUCGGAUCGUAAAGCUCAGUUGUAAGUCAAGAACGGGUGUGAGAGUGGAAAGUUCACACUGUGACGGUAGCUUAACAGAAAGGGACGGCUAACUACGUG